UUAACCCAGCUUCUUAAAGCGUGUAUGUUGUGUGGCUUUUGGAACAUAACGUUACAUGUUUUUGUGAGUAAAGUUAGGCAUUUCAUUUCUCUUGUUGUAUUUCAGAAAUCAUAACAGCCUGUCUUUUUUUAGCACAGCGGCAUUCAAAUUGACCAAUCAGAGCCGAGAAUAUCUAAUAAGUCGAAGUAGAGAUGAACAGAUGAAGAUACAGCCCGUAAAAAUACUUAUUCUUGGUGAGUGCCAUGUAGCGACGGAUCAAACGGACACUCAUGUCAAGCUUGAUGAGGACACAGUCAAAGCUUUAAAAGACCUUGUGAUUAAGUCUUCAGUGUCUGAAUGGCAAGAAGAAGUGACCCUCCACUUAAACGUGACAUUUAAACUGCUCUGUGUUUUGG